GUGGAUUUGAAUUCACUAACUCCCCUAACGCGAGAGAACCCUAGCCACUCGCGUCACUUUUCACCUUCUUCCCUCCAACGUCCCUUUCUCUUCCUCUUCAAACUCACAGAACCCCCAUUGAGCGACCUUCAACCACUGCCACCCAUCAUCGCCGGCGAACCCAUUACCGCCGGCCGCCAACCCCUUUCUUACCUUUCUUCCCUCUUUCUUCCGCUUCUCCUCUCUCGCUCCACCUUCUCCUCACUGCCAUCAAGCACCGCCGCGGCCACCCAUUGCCGCUGGCAAUCUCCACCCUCUACCACAACCACUCGCCCUCCCUUCUUCUCCAUUUCACUUCACUCCACCGUCUCUGUACCAGAACGAAAAUCUGGUGCUCCCCCUGCUCCCUGAGUUCAGCGCCUUUAUUCAGCGCCUCAGUUCUGCCGUCACCACCGCUAUCAGUAGCCGCCGUCCCUGGGUCGGCACUGCUCUUCUCCCCCUUCUAGUCUCCAUCUCUGUUUCUGCUUCCCUCCCUGAUGUCCGACAGAGGUAAAGGGAAAGCCAAGAUCACCUCCAAUAAAAGGAAGAGGUCUCAGUCAUCUACUGAGCGGGUGACCUCCGGUCUAUUUGAGAAGCGUCUCUCUGAGAAGGAGAAGGCGGAUCAAGCCACGCCUCCUACCAACUCAGAGAAGUUUACCAAUCUAUGUUGUGAGCUCCGAUUUCAGCACUUUGAGCAUCGGAAGCUCAUUUUGGAGAAGAAGCUAGUUAUCCCCUCCGAUCUAAGGCAGUAUACUGAGUGCCGGAUUGAGGAGAGGGGCUGAGCCUUCCUAGACAGAGAGCUAGUGAGAGUGAAUGAGUCUUGGGUCCAAGAGUUCUAUUGCAAUUUCUUCAAAGUGACCCUUGACUUAGUUCACCUCAGAGACAGGCAGGUCAUGGUCACAGAGGUGGAUAUUGAGGAGAUCCUCCACUGUCAGCCUAAAAUCAGUGAUAAGGAUGCUUUCCACAGGGUUGAGGAGGAGUUGCACAGCAUGACCUUUGAUUAUGAUGCACUACAUAGUGUGGUUGCCCAGCCUAAUUCCCCUUGGGAGAUGGGUACCUCUCAAGUGACUCUCAAGGGCAUGAAGUUUGAUUAUCUGACCGAAUCGGCGGUUAACCGAUAAACCGACUGAACCGGCCAAUUUUUUGAAAGGCCCGAUUUUGUAAUCCAAAUUCAGAAACGGCAUCGUUUUGACGCCAUAAAAAAAAGAAACCCUAAGUCACUAACCCAGUCCCCCAAUUCCCAACCCAGCCUCACGAGAACGCCUACCCUCUCCCUCUCCCUUCCAAGUUCCAACCCUAGUUUCCUGGGUAAAGUACUAAAUUGGUCCUCUACAUUUGGGCAUAAUUCUGUUUUGGUCCUUAAGGUUUAAAGUAUUCUAUUUGAAUCCAAAAAAAUUUCAUUUAUCUUCAAUAUAGUCCCAUCGUGAGAUCAAAGUUAAAUAAUUAACAGAAUGUCCUACAUGACAGCAGUACAAGAACAAGGUCGAAAAUAUGGAGAACAAGUACAAGCUCCAAAGGCACAAAAUCAACCAUGAAUGCAUUAAUAUAUUUAUUUAUCAUUCUCCUUAGUUUUAUAGAAAAUAUUUCAUUUAAAUUGUAAGAAAAAUGAUAAAUAAAUAUUUUUGAUUCAUCCACGAUUGAUUUUGUACCUCUGAAGCUUGUAUUUGUUCUCCAAAUUAUCGACCUUGUUCUUGUACUGCUGUCAUGUAGGACAUUCCGUUAAUUAUUUAACUUUGACCUCACGGUGGGACUACAUUGAAGUUAAAUAAAAUUUUUUUGGAUUCAAAUAGGACACUUUAAAGUUUAAAGACCAAAACAAGAUUACGCCCAAACGUAGGGGACCAAUUUAGUACUUUACCCUUAAUUUCCUUUAAGUCUCCAAUGACAGAAGGAACACCUCCACGAUUCCUACCACUAUCGACGUCAGCCUCUGUCUGCCACCGUGGACACAGCUUCUGCUACAUGUGCAUCACCACUCACCUUUGCAACAAGAGCGAUUGCCCUUGCUGCAACCAUUACCUCACCAAUAGCCACCUCUUCCCUAACUUCUUGCUCGACAAGAUUCACCUCUUCGCAUUUUUUGUUCUCCCUUUCAAUUCAGUAGGGUUUGUUUCCCAGAGCUAGAAACUUCGAAUUCAGUUCGUUUGGAUUGGAAUCGGUUGUUUCAUUUACGUUUAAGAGAGGAAUAUAUGCGUGCUUCGUUGUGAAAAGAGAAAAAAAUCUUUUGAAUUUUUCUUUUCGCGCUUUAGGUGAUAUUAAUCUUUUUCCAGAUUGAAAUUGUUCCUGUUGCGUUUAAGAAUUACUUUUAAUAAACACAAG